AUUGAACGCUGGCGGCAGGCCUAACACAUGCAAGUCGAGCGGAUGAAGGGAGCUUGCUCCUGGAUUCAGCGGCGGACGGGUGAGUAAUGCCUAGGAAUCUGCCUGGUAGUGGGGGAUAACGUCCGGAAACGGGCGCUAAUACCGCAUACUUCCUGAGGGAGAAAGUGGGGGAUCUUCGGACCUCACGCUAUCAGAUGAGCCUAGGUCGGAUUAGCUAGUUGGUGGGGUAAAGGCCUACCAAGGCGACGAUCCGUAACUGGUCUGAGAGGAUGAUCAGUCACACUGGAAGUGAGACACGGUCCAGACUCCUACGGGAGGCAGCAGUGGGGAAUAUUGGACAAUGGGCGAAAGCCUGAUCCAGCCAUGCCGCGUGUGUGAAGAAGGUCUUCGGAUUGUAAAGCACUUUAAGUGGGGAGGAAGGGCAGUAAGUUAAUACCUUGCUGUUUUGACGUUACCAACAGAAUAAGCACCGGCUAACUUCGUG
rnacentral:rRNA from 1 species